GGGGUUGUGGCUCAGUGGUAAAGUGCUCACCUAGCAUGUGCGAGGCACUGGGUUCAAUCCUCAGCACCACA
rnacentral:tRNA from 1 species